GAUGAAGAACGUAGCGAAAUGCGAUAAGUAAUGUGAAUUGCAGAAUUCAGUGAAUCAUCGAAUCUUUGAACGCACAUUGCGCCCGCCAGCAUUCUGGCGGGCAUGCCUGUUCGAGCGUCAUUUCAACCAUCAAGCCCCCGGGCUUGUGUUGGGGACCUGCGGCUGCCGCAGGCCCUGAAAAGCAGUGGCGGGCUCGCUGUCACACCGAGCGUAGUAGAUUUUAUCUCGCUCUGGGCGUGCUGCGGGUUCCGGCCGUUAAACCACCCUUUUAACCCAAGGUUGACCUCGGAUCAGGUAGGAAGACCCGCUGAACUUAAGCAUAUCAAUAAGCGGAGGA
rnacentral:misc_RNA from 1 species